GUCGCCAGUGGCGGGGUAUAGGCUGCCUGCUGCCCUUGGUCAGUGCGCCCGUUGACGUGUGUGGACAACCAGCAAGGCCACAGCGUGGGGACUGUAGUUCUUAGGGUACUUAGCAGGUGCCAUAUUUACAGUAAGGAGAGGCACUGCCCAGGACCAGGACUUCGUUGAACAAAAGCUCAAAUCAUAAAAUAAUCAGGACCACAAUGGGUUCUGGUCUCAGAAGAUGGAGGUCAUGGACCACCAGCGUAAGUAUGGUUCUUCGAAUGUCAUAGCAGCUGCUUAACAUCUGGGAAAUUGCCAGUCUCUGUAAGGGAGGGAAAGAGAGAGUGAGCAUGGAAAAUGGUGAACUGAUCCUUAGAAGUUCCACCUAAGAAUGAUAUGUAUCACAUCAACUCCUUUCAAAGCCAAAGGCAAGUCAUCUAACUCAAGGGGGCCAGUAGUUGAAUCCACUAUUUGCCUGAAAUGAGAAAUAAAAAAAUUUUUGUGAAGAGUU